rnacentral:rRNA from 1 species
AGUGGGAAACGUAGUGGGAAGGCUUAGACAGCUAGGAUGUUGGCUUAGAAGCAGCCAUCAUUUAAAGAAAGCGUAAUAGCUCACUAGUCGAGUCGGCCUGCGCGGAAGAUGUAACGGGGCUAAAACUAGUCACCGAAGCUGCGGCAUCAGUAGCAAUACUGUUGGGUAGGGGAGCGUUCUGUAAGCGGAUGAAGGUGAAUCGAGAGGUUUGCUGGACGUAUCAGAAGUGCGAAUGCUGACAUAAGUAACGAUAAAACGAGUGAAAAACUCGUUCGCCGGAAGACCAAGGGUUCCUGUCCAACGUUAAUCGGGGCAGGGUGAGUCGGCCCCUAAGGCGAGGCUGAAAAGCGUAGUCGAUGGGAAACGGGUUAAUAUUCCCGUACUUGGAUAAACUGCGAUGUGGGGACGGAGCAGGUUAGGUUAUCGCACUGUUGGAUAUGUGCGUUUAAGUUGGUAGGUGGGAAGUUUAGGCAAAUCCGGACUUCCUUAACACUGAGAGAUGAUGACGAGGCUCUAAGGAGCUGAAGUAACUGAUACCAGACUUCCAGGAAAAGCCACUA